AUUAGACGAAUCAUCUGGAAAGAUGAAUCAAAGAAGGUAAUAAUCCUGUAGUCGAAAAUGUUGUCUCUCUUGAGUGGAUCCUGAGUACGACGGAGCACGUGAAAUUCCGUCGGAAUCUGGGAGGACCAUCUCCUAAGGCUAAAUACUCUCUAGUGACCGAUAGUGAACCAGUACCGUGAGGGAAAGGUGAAAAGCACCCCGGAAGGGGAGUGAAAUAGAACCUGAAACCGUGUGCUUACAAGUAGUCAGAGCCCGUUAAUGGGUGAUGGCGUGCCUUUUGUAGAAUGAACCGGCGAGUUACGAUUUGAUGCAAGGUUAAGCAGUAAAUGUGGAGCCGUAGCGAAAGCGAGUCUGAAUAGGGCGUUUAGUAUUUGGUCGUAGACCCGAAACCAGGUGAUCUACCCUUGGUCAGGUUGAAGUUCAGGUAACACUGAAUGGAGGACCGAACCGACUUACGUUGAAAAGUGAGCGGAUGAACUGAGGGUAGCGGAGAAAUUCCAAUCGAACCUGGAGAUAGCUGGUUCUCUCCGAAAUAGCUUUAGGGCUAGCCUCAAGUGAUGAUUAUUGGAGGUAGAGCACUGUUUGGACGAGGGGCCCCUCUCGGGUUACCGAAUUCAGACAAACUCCGAAUGCCAAUUAAUUUAACUUGGGAGUCAGAACAUGGGUGAUAAGGUCCGUGUUCGAAAGGGAAACAGCCCAGACCACCAGCUAAGGUCCCAAAAUAUAUGUUAAGUGGAAAAGGAUGUGGCGUUGCCCAGACAACUAGGAUGUUGGCUUAGAAGCAGCCAUCAUUUAAAGAGUGCGUAAUAGCUCACUAGUCGAGUGACACUGCGCCGAAAAUGUACCGGGGCUAAACAUAUUACCGAAGCUGUGGAUUGUCCUUUGGACAAUGGUAGGAGAGCGUUCUAAGGGCGUUGAAGCAUGAUCGUAAGGACAUGUGGAGCGCUUAGAAGUGAGAAUGCCGGUGUGAGUAGCGAAAGACGGGUGAGAAUCCCGUCCACCGAUUGACUAAGGUUUCCAGAGGAAGGCUCGUCCGCUCUGGGUUAGUCGGGUCCUAAGCUGAGGCCGACAGGCGUAGGCGAUGGAUAACAGGUUGAUAUUCCUGUACCACCUAUAAUCGUUUUAAUCGAUGGGGGGACGCAGUAGGAUAGGCGAAGCGUGCGAUUGGAUUGCACGUCUAAGCAGUAAGGCUGAGUAUUAGGCAAAUCC
rnacentral:rRNA from 1 species